AAAUUAAAGAUUUCUGUAAGAUCAUUGAGAUAUUUCCAGGGAAAAUUGUGCAAAAUCUCUGCUAGAGAGCUAAUAGUGAUGAACCUUAAUACAACUUGGGUUUCAUGGGAAAUAUGAGCAGAUCAGAUAAACAAAACUUAAAGAGUUCAAAACAGUCGGUAUCACAUCACACCAUAGCAUUAACACAUCUCUGUAAAUCCAGAUAUGAAAAUCAUGACAGGAAAAUAAUACAGGCAGCAUCGCAUAACAUGAUUUAUUAUUUGCUACAACUGGUAACAUAGACCAGAUGAUAAGGCAGGUUAUUACUUGAGAACAGCAUGGAGUUCCAUUAUGUUGUAAGCAUAGGAGGAAGGUAGUCAGAUUUGGCACCUAGAACUCGA
rnacentral:misc_RNA from 1 species